rnacentral:lncRNA from 1 species
UGAGUAGAUCGAGUAUGGCAACUUAGGCCAUGGAAGGACAAACAGGUAGAGUCCUUGUGGAGGGUUUUUGUUUUGUGGGUUCCUUUUAUUUCUUCUUGCUACUGCUGAAUGGACAUGUAGGGAACGUGGGAAAGCUUAGAUUUAAUUUUGGACAACUUUGUAUUGCAUUAUGUAAUUAGCUGAGGUCCAGUUGUCCUUAUAGUCCUAUAGGAAUGCACGAACGCUUCCAACUUCAUUAUGUAUUGUAUUUAUAUCUUACUUAGUGUUAGUUUGUAUUAUAGUAGCCUUGACAUUCGUAGAAGCUAUUUUG